rnacentral:tRNA from 1 species
GCGAUAUAGCUCAGUCCGGUUAGAGCACAGGAUUCAUAACCCUGGGGUCGAAGGUUCAAUUCCCUCUAUCGCC